UAGGGAAUCUUCCGCAAUGGACGAAAGUCUGGCGGAGCAACGCCGCGUGAGUGAAGAAGGCUUUCGGUUCGUAAAACUCUGUUGUUAGGGAAGAAAAAAUGUAUAGUAACUAUAUACAAAAGAGACGGUACCUAACCAGAAAGCCACGGCUAACUACGUGCCAGCAGCCGCGGUAAUACGUAGGUGGCAAGCGUUGUCCGGAAUUAUUGGGCGUAAAGCGCGCGCAGGUGGUUUAGAAAGUCUGAUGUGAAAGCCCACGGCUCAACCGUGGAGGGUCAUUGGAAACUAAUAAACUUGAGUGCAGGAGAGAAAAGUGGAAUUCCUAGUGUAGCGGUGAAAUGCGUAGAGAUUAGGAGGAACACCGGUGGCGAAAGCGGCUUUUUGGCCUGCAACUGACACUGAGGCGCGAAAGCGUGGGGAGCAAACAGG
rnacentral:rRNA from 1 species